GAAAUGCUACGAGGUAAAUAACUACACCAUCUUGCUACUAAACAUUGAAAAUACUAUUUUCUGUCAAUUAUUUGUAACAUCUAAUAACUCAUUCCAUGCAGGCUGACAAAUCUCAAUAUAGCAUCAAAAGAAAGAAUGACCUUGAUGCAUAAACAAUGAAGGCUGACAAAUCUCAGCCUAGAUCGAAAAGAGACAAAGAUGUGCUCAGCACUCUGACACAAUUGGACAGAGGGGGCCUUCAGGACAGAAGCCAACACCCAGCCGGAAGAAGGAUGAGUACUACUAUCCAGGAAGCACAAGCAAUGCCCAGUUUGAUGCAUAUGCACAGUCUGAGUCUCAGCCCAACAAAUCUUCAUUGCAUUGGUGUCACAAUUACGAGACUACGUCCCAACGGGAUCGUCGAAAGGAUUUGGAAGAAAGGAUCCGCAAAGUAACAAUCAAAACAGUAGAAAGAGAAGAGAAGGAUGAAAUCCUCGACUAGGUGAAUACAACUACUCCUAAUGUUAAUAUGGUUCAGAUCGACGAUCUCACAAUCAGCCAGAGGCAUCUAGCAUGUCUAACUAACCCCUAUUUGGAAGAUAAGGACAAGUACCUAGGAGAUGAGGUAAAUUUUCACAAUAAUUUUACUUGUUUAUUUUGGAAUAAACAUUACCAAGUAAUAUUAAUACUUUUUUGCAUUACAAUUUUCUGGUAAUUGAUGCUUAGAUAGAGCACAACAAACAAACUAACCCUCGGUACAUAAGAUAGGAUGGCAUCAUCUUCAUUCAGAGGGUGAUUAACACUAUUCCCUAGAAAACGAUGGACACAAGAACGCUACAGUGCGUCUGCGGAUGGAUGAGUCUCGAAAGGGUUUAGAUUUCAUAACCAAUUAGCACGGAAGUAUUCCAUAAAAUUAUGAUGUACAUAAUUUUCUUAUUAUACUACGACAUGAUGAGCUACUGAAACAUUUUUUAUACAAAUCUUCCUACAUAUCGAUAUGAAAGAUAGAGAGCACUGGUUAUUGGUGUUGAUCCAUACCAACACACGGUUUAUCCAGAUAUUACACUUAAUGUAUCGCGACAUUACAGUGGAUAAAGACUAUCUCAUGUACCUGCACAACACGGUGUGUUUCUCUCUAUCACUUUGCGUAGAGUAACUAUUGCAUCUUUUUUUAGAUUAUAUUUCCAUGUAACUAUGUGAUUACUACUUGCAGCUUACGGGUAUGGAGAGCCACAUUGAGUAUGCAUUAAAGCAACAUGGACGUGAUAUAUGCACAUGGGCGGCGCACCCAGAAAUAAACUUCCUUGUGGGGUCUUGGGCCAUUAAAAUGAUUAAAUCAGUAACUCAACAGAGAGGUUGGUACUGGACAAAGUAAAUUAAUUUAUUAUGGUCUUAUAAGUUUAUGAAAAGAUGGUAUAUAUUUUACCAUUGUAUUUGUUUAUAAAACAACUCGUGCAGACUGUACUUAAUAGCAAGUAAAAAAUAGUGGGCUGUUUAAUUUAGCGGAUGCCUCGUCGAGAAGUUGUAGCGGUAGCGAAACAGUUUAGCGGUUUUCUCUAUGAAAAGCAAUCUAUUUCAUAGAAACAAAGAAUUUCAGCAUGCAUAUCAUGGAAUAAUAAUAUUUUUCUUUGACUCCAUUACUAUUGCGUGGCUUAUAAUCUGCUACUAACCUAAAUUGGAUGCACCAAUUCUAUCUACAAUCCUUAUUUCAAAAAAUGGCAUGAGGAUGGAAUGAAAUUGAAUAGGAAGGCUGCAUCGUUUCCAGAAGUACAGAACAAAGAGGAAAGGACAAACAAGCAAGAAAGUUUUGACAUAGUAGUUCUAGUGUUUGAACAGACAAUCAAUUUUCUAUAUACAAAUUAAUUUUGGCGAUUCUAGUGUCUAGCAUCUGAAACAAUUUACCGAGGAAGGGAGAGUCAAUGAUAAAGGAGUAACAAUCCAGACUUAGUUUCAGGCUGAAACAUCAAGGUGUUGUCGGUCGUCUCGAUUUAGCCCCUGUCUCCCUAGCCAGGGCCGCCGCGGCCUGGGUGCAGCAGCCAUGGAGUACAAGUGUACUACCCGCUUGGUGCUCGUGACGGUUUUCGGCCAACGAAAAUAUGUAUUGCGCUUCAAAUUCUAGUGUGAUGGGAUAAUUUUGUUGGUGGUGCUAUAGAUCCUCUAGCGGCUACACUGUUUAGUGGUAAUUAGUGGCGUUUUAGCGGUCGUAGCGCCCAUAUAUAGCCGGCAGAAACAGGCUUAGCAUCGCGGACGGCUAUCCCAGAAGCUAUAGCGGUGCUAUUUAUUUCCUUGCUUAAUAAUGAAUAGAAUGGAAGAUGGCUCACAAAUCAGUUGGACCAGACCUAUGUCAACAAUUUUGGACCCAAGUUGGUGGUCACACUUAUAAAAUCACCUCACAAUAAGGAGAAGAAAGGACCAAAUAAGACGAGACUUCUUCACGCUGGACGCACACUAUGAUCCAGCCAUUGAUGGGGAAUCCAUCAGCGUCGGCGGCGGCCGGCGGGAGCGACAGUUCGGCGGCGGCUGCUGCUACGGACGGUGGGGGCUGGGACGUCGUCAAAAGUAUGGCGUCUGGGUAUGGCUUGGUAGGGCUGUGCUAGUUUUCCUAUGUAUUUAUAUCACCUAACUAAAACAAAAAAGAAACUGUAUGAUUUGUUACCUUGUAAUUGGUUUGUAAUAGUUAUUUCCUAAUAAUUGUCUCGUCAAAAUUCCUAGUUUUAGGAAACAAACGGUUUCCAAAUUAUUAUCUCCCGAUUUUCAACUAUACUCUGGAAGACUAAAAUUCUUUGACCGAUCUAAGAUUUGAAACGAUAUGUUGGCCAACACCUGAAAUUCCAAAAUUGAA